rnacentral:rRNA from 1 species
GUUGGGUUAAGUCCCGUAACGAGCGCAACCCUUGUCCUUAGUUACCAGCACGUUAUGGUGGGGCGACUCUAAGGAGACGUGCCGGUGACAAACCGGAGGAAGGUGGGGAUGACGUCAAGUCAUCAUGGCCCUUACGGCCUGGGCUACACACGUGCUACAAUGGUCGGUACAAAGGGUUGCCAAGCCGCGAGGUGGAGCUAAUCCCAAUAAAACCGAUCGUAGUCCGGAUCGCAGUCUGCAACUCGACUGCGUGAAGUCGGAAUCGCUAGUAAUCGUCGAAUCAGAAUGUCACGGUGAAUACGUUCCCGGGCCUU